CCCUUUGUGUACCCACCUCUGUUGCUUUGGCGGGCCGCGGUCCUCCGCGGCCGCCCUCCGUCCGGGGGGUGGCCAGCGCCCGCCAGAGGACCAUCGAACUCCGGUCAGUGAACGUUGCCGUCUGAAAAACAAUCAAUAAACUAAAACUUUCAACAACGGAUCUCUUGGUUCUGGCAUCGAUGAAGAACGCAGCGAAAUGCGAUAAGUAAUGUGAAUUGCAGAAUUCAGUGAAUCAUCGAAUCUUUGAACGCACAUUGCGCCCCUCGGUAUUCCGAGGGGCAUGCCUGUUCGAGCGUCAUUACAACCCUCAAGCUCUGCUUGGUGUUGGGCACCGCCCUUCCGCGGGCGCGCCUCAAAGACCUCGGCGGUGGCGUCUUGCCUCGAGCGUAGUAGAAAACACCUCGCUUUGGAGCGCACGGCGCCGCCCGCCGGACGAACCUUUUGAACUUUCUCAAGGUUGACCUCGGAUCAG
rnacentral:rRNA from 1 species